UGGGGAAUAUUGGACAAUGGGCGCAAGCCUGAUCCAGCCAUGCCGCGUGAGUGAUGAAGGCCUUAGGGUUGUAAAGCUCUUUCGGCGGGGACGAUAAUGACGGUACCCGCAGAAGAAGCCCCGGCUAACUUCGUGCCAGCAGCCGCGGUAAUACGAAGGGGGCUAGCGUUGUUCGGAAUCACUGGGCGUAAAGGGCGCGUAGGCGGCUUGAUAAGUCGGGGGUGAAAGCCUGUGGCUCAACCACAGAAUUGCCUUCGAUACUGUCUGGCUUGAGACCGGAAGAGGUAAGUGGAACUGCGAGUGUAGAGGUGAAAUUCGUAGAUAUUCGCAAGAACACCAGUGGCGAAGGCGGCUCUCUGGUCUGUAACUGACGCUGAGGCGCGAA
rnacentral:rRNA from 1 species